UUUUGUAUUGUGGCUACUGUGGUAGGCUGGAGGUCGACCUUUCCACCCACAUGCCCCACUUAUCGACCCACUUAUCGACCUUCCUGCCUCCCCAGUAGCAGUCCUGCUUUACAGUGCCCCACUUUGGCCUUGGAGUUUUACCCCUCAUGGGAUCGACACCUCGUCACACACGAUCACGUGUAUGUGUGUGUUAGUGUAUGUGUGUGUGUGCGUGUGUGUGUGUGUGUUAGUGUGUGAGAGCGUUGACGAGGUCAUCAAGCGGCGCCGUCUCCGAAGCCUCCAGCAGCCUGAAGGUGUGGCUGAAGGUGAUGAAGUGUGUGAGGAGGGUGUUGAGGUGCGGGUGGAUGUCCGCAGCCACGGCGUCUCUGUAGUGAGCGCUGUACAGGCCAUCCACUCGUGCUGGUCCAGCCCAUGUGGCAGAGCGGACAGUGUGAGCAGGUCGACGUCUGAAAUGCGGUCUCUCAGGAAGUGAUCCUGCAGUUAAAAAAUCGCAGCUUGUUCCGCAUGUUACCGAGAAACCGGAAAGAAGAAGCGUAAACUCCUCUGUCCUGAAGAUGUCGGAAAACUCAAAGUUACAGCUUUACCUCUGACUGUUACAAAGCGCUGACACUGGAGACUCCUUCCAUACAUGUUAAAUAUUUUUAGAGAAAACUGAAAACAUACGAUUAUACUUUUUUUUGUUUUUUAUUAUUAUCAGUGGAGCGUCCGCUGUACAAGUCCCUGUGAAUGAGCUGUUACUAAAGAAACGAUAACAUUGUGCUAAUGUGCUUAUUUUACUGCAUGCAAAACAGUCAAGUCACACUGCAAACACACACACACACACACACACACAAUCGCUGUGUUUCCGUGUGUAUUUACACACCGAGGGAAAGUCCUGAUAACGUCGAUCCUGACUUCAAUGUAAAACCUUGAAACGCCAAACGUUCACAGGAUAGAACUCUGUGUGUGUGUGUGUGUGUGUGUGUGUGUGUGUGUGUGUGUGUGUGUGUGUGUGUGUGUGUGUGUGGCCUUGUUCUGACUGAUAAACACACACGUCGCAGAGUGUAUCUAAUUCCUGUAUGAGUGUGUGUGUGUGUCGUUUCCUAUUACGUGCUAAAGCAACAGACCACUGUCAGUGAAAUGUAAAUAAAAUGAAAAUUCUCUGUACGUUUUUCCAGCACACACACCCACACACACACACACACACACACAUUUGAAAAAAAUCCUCUAAAAAUACAAAAAGUUAGCUUUAGUGACAUGAAUAUUAUUUAAAAACUUAGAACCCUUAAGGUUCCUCAGUUCCAAAGAACCUUUGAAGAACCCCUUUUAACUGUGCGCUACUAACUCCAAAUUAUUGCUCAUUAUUUUCUUCUCAAUAUCUAGAACCUUUCAGAAGUUUAACAUUUAGCUCUUGGUACUUGGUGCACUCAUAAAAAAAAAAGGUUCUUCAAGGGUUCUUUAAGGGUUAAUUUGAUAUUUAAGGGUUCUUAGUUUCCAAAAAGGAUACACUUUAAACCCAUUCUGAUAAGGAAACCCUCUGUGGAAGAGUUCUACACAGAACAUAGAACCUUCAAGAGUUCUCGAAGAGGGAUAAGUGGAAGAACCCUUACUGGUUCUAGAUUUAACCUUUUUUUUCUAAGAGAUAGAGGUGAGAAGUGAUAUUCUUAACAAAUAUUAUAGUUGAUACACUUUCAAAAAAUGUUAACCUGUAAGGGUUCUUCAGGUGUUCCUCUGGGGAAAAAACCAAAAAAGUUCUAUAAUAAAGUGUAUUCCUAUCAGAAAGUGUUCCUAUAAGAAGCAGAACCUCAAUUAUCCAAAGAACGCUUGAAGAACCUUUUUUUUUUUUUUCUAAGAGUGUGUGUAGGAACCGGGUAUGUGUACGCUACAAACUCCAAAUUAUUGUUCCUUAUUUUAUUGUCAAUAUCUUGAACCUGUCAGGAGUUUAACAUUUAGAAACACUUUUUGUGUACAUAGAACAGAGUCAGAAGAAGAACCCUUUAGUGCUCAAAAUCUUCUAAGAGCAUAGAACCUUUAAGGUUGUCUUAAAAAUAAAAUUAAAGGUGACAGAAAGUCUAUCUUGGUACUUGUUGCACUCCUAGAGUAAAAGGGUUCUUCCAGGGUUCUUUAAGGGUUUGUUGGAUAAUUAAAGGUU